rnacentral:rRNA from 1 species
UAGCCGUAAACGAUACUCGCUAGGUGUCGGCCACGGUGCGACCGUUGUCGGUGCCGUAGGGAAGCCGUGAAGCGAGCCACCUGGGAAGUACGGCCGCAAGGCUGAAACUUAAAGGAAUUGGCGGGGGAGCACAACAACGGGUGGAGCUUGCGGUUUAAUUGGAUUCAACGCCGGAAAUCUUACCGGGACCGACAGCAACAUGAAGGCCAGGCUGAAGACUUUGCCGGAUUAGCUGAGAGGAGGUGCAUGGCGUCAGUGACU